rnacentral:tRNA from 1 species
AUUUAAAUAGCUUAUUUUAAAGUAUAAUAUUGAAGAUAUUAAGAAAAUAGUUGUUAUUUUUAAAUA